CUCAGUUUAAUGCAGGGCCAGGAGGAGGGAAGUUCUCUGCUUCCUAGCUGGAGGAUCUCAGUUCCCAAGUGCCUUGGACUGCUCCCACGUAUUCCUUGGGAAUUCAAUGACCUUGAGUUUGCUGUGCUUGAAACUUGCCUUAGUGCUUGGCUUCCUUUCUGGAAUACUUAGGAGAGGAGAGCUGUGCAGAAGGCACUGCGAGGCUCUUGAGCGAGACCGGCACUGCUUCACUUAGGAUCAUAUAAGAAGAGGCAUUUGUGCUGUACAAAAUAAACUUCUUGCUUCAGA